rnacentral:rRNA from 1 species
UUGAACGCUGGCGGCAUGCCUUACACAUGCAAGUCGAACGGCAGCACGGGUGCUUGCACCUGGUGGCGAGUGGCGAACGGGUGAGUAAUACAUCGGAACAUGUCCUGUAGUGGGGGAUAGCCCGGCGAAAGCCGGAUUAAUACCGCAUACGAUCUACGGAUGAAAGCGGGGGACCUUCGGGCCUCGCGCUUUAGGGUUGGCCGAUGGCUGAUUAGCUAGUUGGUGGGGUAAAGGCCUACCAAGGCGACGAUCAGUAGCUGGUCUGAGAGGACGACCAGCCACACUGGGACUGAGACACGGCCCAGACUCCUACGGGAGGCAGCAGUGGGGAAUUUUGGACAAUGGGCGAAAGCCUGAUCCAGCAAUGCCGCGUGUGUGAAGAAGGCCUUCGGGUUGUAAAGCACUUUUGUCCGGAAAGAAAUCCUUGGCCCUAAUACGGUCGGGGGAUGACGGUACCGGAAGAAUAAGCACCGGCUAACUACGUG